rnacentral:rRNA from 1 species
AUUGAACGCUGGCGGCAGGCUUAACACAUGCAAGUCGAGCGAGCGGCGGACGGGUGAGUAAUGUCUGGGAAACUGCCUGAUGGAGGGGGAUAACUACUGGAAACGGUAGCUAAUACCGCAUAACAUCGGCUGUGCCCAGAUGGGAUUAGCUAGUUGGUGGGGUAAAGGAUCACCUAGGCGACGAUCCCUAGCUUGUCUGGGAGGAUGACCAGACAACAUGGAACUGAGACCCGGUGCAGCCUCCGACGGUAGGCAGCAGUGGGGAAGAUUGGAAAAUGGGGGCAAGCUGGAGGCAGCCAUGCCGCGUGUAGGAAGAAGUAUUUCGGGGUGUAAGGUAUUUUGAGCGGGGAGGCGGUACCCGAAGAGGAAGCACCGGCUAACUCCGUGCCAGCAGCCGCGGUAAUUC